rnacentral:rRNA from 1 species
AGUCGAACGGAAAGGCCUCUUCGGAGGUACUCGAGUGGCGAACGGGUGAGUAACACGUGGGUAAUCUGCCCUGCACUUCGGGAUAAGCCUGGGAAACUGGGUCUAAUACCGGAUAGGACCUUUUGGCGCAUGCCUUUUGGUGGAAAGCUUUUGCGGUGUGGGAUGGGCCCGCGGCCUAUCAGCUUGUUGGUGGGGUGACGGCCUACCAAGGCGACGACGGGUAGCCGGCCUGAGAGGGUGUCCGGCCACACUGGGACUGAGAUACGGCCCAGACUCCUACGGGAGGCAGCAGUGGGGAAUAUUGCACAAUGGGCGCAAGCCUGAUGCAGCGACGCCGCGUGGGGGAUGACGGCCUUCGGGUUGUAAACCUCUUUCAGCAGGGACGAAGCGCAAGUGACGGUACCUGCAGAAGAAGCACCGGCCAACUACGUGCCAGCAGCCGCGGUAAUACGUAGGGUGCGAGCGUUGUCCGGAAUUACUGGGCGUAAAGAGCUCGUAGGUGGUUUGUCGCGUUGUUCGUGAAAACCGGGGGCUUAACCCUCGGCGUGCGGGCGAUACGGGCAGACUGGAGUACUGCAGGGGAGACUGGAAUUCCUGGUGUAGCGGUGGAAUGCGCAGAUAUCAGGAGGAACACCGGUGGCGAAGGCGGGUCUCUGGGCAGUAACUGACGCUGAGGAGCGAAAGCGUGGGGAGCGAACAGGAUUAGAUACCCUGGUAGUCCACGCCGUAAACGGUGGGUACUAGGUGUGGGUUUCCUUCCUUGGAAUCCGUGCCGUAGCUAACGCAUUAAGUACCCCGCCUGGGGAGUACGGCCGCAAGGCUAAAACUCAAAGGAAUUGACGGGGGCCCGCACAAGCGGCGGAGCAUGUGGAUUAAUUCGAUGCAACGCGAAGAACCUUACCUGGGUU